CACACACACACACACACACCCCAAAGGGAAAAAUACUAGGCCAGAAUCUAUUAUCUCCUAGACCCCACUAUGUCUGAGAGUCUGGGUCUAUCCGUCUCUGCUACAGUCAAUGCUCACACACCCAGAUGCACUCCUGUGUGGGUAGGGCAGUUCCCUUAGGUAGGUUUCUUCUUGGACUAUAGCUUGGGAGACACAAACCUGCGGCGGGCCUGAAAGACACUGUAAAUAGUUGGUUUGUAGCUUUUAUGAACUCCUCAAGAGGAACUACAGGAGGAGGCAGAGGGCAUCCUCUGUGACUCCUGCGGGCCACUGGGCUUGGUUUAUGGUGAGGUCACUUAUGAAUAUUAAAAUCUUUGCUCCAGGCUUCAAUGACUCCCACUGCCUUGCUCUACCCAAAAGCCAAGGUUAUAGCUGUAAUAAAGCUGCCCUUCUUUGGGAGAAGCAUCUCUCUGUCUCUCUAUCCCUCUGUCUCUCUGUUUUUCUCUGUCUCUGUCUCUUACACACACACGCACACACACACACAGGAAUGGUGUAGGGAAGGAAAAUGUGGCAGACUGACAGUAACAACAGCCAUCUCUGAAUCUCUGGCUCUGUUGUCACACUGUCACACCAUGUGUGGCCCCAGGCUCAGGACAGGCUAUCCCUACAAAGCCAUUCCCAUCUGUCUCCCUUCUGCCAUCCCUGAGUGAGGUCCCCAGAGCCACUAGAUAAAUCCCCUAGAGUAGCCCAGUUUGACUUUGGGGAAAGGAAUGCAGCUUCCAGGAGAGGGCGCUAUUGGAGCGUGCAGCAUGUACGCUGAGGUCUCGGGUUUGCAGCUCAGGGAUGGUGAUGCAGGCAACCUCCAGGGUGCAGGCACUGGCCAUGCUGGCCCAGCAGGACAAAGAGGGUGGUAGUGGGUGACUGCAAUUUUGAUGCACAUGUUUAAAAUGCGAGGGGAUCUUGAGAUGUGCCUUUUAGCCAGUCUUGAGUGGCCUGAUAGUAGGAGCAGGUGAAAGAUUGGGACAGGCAGACCUGGCAUCUCCUUCCCUGCCCCUUUCAAUGAGGAGAGAAACAGAUUCUGAGGGAGGUGGGACCUGAGACUCCCACCACAGUGAUCAGUCAUGUUAGGUGCUGGGUCUCACUUUUUAUUACCCCCUUGUCCCCAAGUAGAACAAAACAGAUUUUUUAAAUCUUUUUUUGCAGUUCGGGGCCUUUUUAGUGUGUAUAACUCAGGGGUUGUCACCUCUUGGGGCAGUGCUGCUUUCAGACAGCCUGGGGCUGAGUGACAUAGUGAUUAAGACUAUUAAGCAAAGAAGGAGAUUUGGAGACAAAGCAGAGCCCAGUGACAGACAGGAAGACAGAGGCAGAAGGAGGGGCCUAGGGACUGGGAGGGGCAGGCACAAGGCUUUUUAAAACCCUAGAAAGAUGGCAUCUUUUUCCAGUGCUUGCUGUGCAAUGGUGAGGACUUGAAUUUGUGUCUCCAGCUGAAAGCCGGCAUGCUGUCCGCUGUCUGAAACCUUUAGGCUAGGGGAUGACCAGAGAUAGGAGGAUUUCAAGCAGCUUAGUAGCCAGGCAGGGAGUGUAUCUGAAACAACGGGCUCACAGGCUCAAAGAGAAGGUGGGAAACAACACAGGAAGAGAACCGAAGUUGACCUCUGUCCUCUAUACAUACAGAAGAGUGAGUGCCAAGAGGGACAGAGAGACAGCCCUUGCCUCUCUUCACACUCAGAUUGCUGACAGAGUCAGAGAGAUUUGCGAGAUCCUCGUAGCCUAGAAUCCCUCCCAAGAAAGUCCUGGAAUCAUUACGUCACUGGACACUCUCCAUGAUGGAUCGACACAAACCCCUGGAGGACCACCCACUCGACUGUGAACCAUGACCUGUGCUUUGAAGCCUGACCUACAAGCUGUCUUCACCACCCCAUCCCUACCUACUCCUUUCUAGCCCACGUCGGCAUAACAUCCGAUGCUGCGAGGAUCCAGGCGCAAUCUUGCUCCCACACACCUCGAUGUCUGUCACCAGGGAGAGAGUAUGAUGAGCUGAUUCACACCAAGGUGUCAGGCUGAGGGUGUGGGGAGAAUGAGCGGGUGGGUGGUGAUUGCAUUUUAAUGAGGGUCAUGCUUGAAUCCCAAUGGUGUAAGCUCUGAUGGUGGGGUGAGGUGUCAAAGGCAGGAUAGACAGUAGAUACUUUUGGCAAUGAGCUCUCUCUUCUCACUGACCGCUAAGGUCAUGGACGAAUGCAGUGGCCUUCUAUGCUAGUGGCAGGAGCUGUUCCAUUGGAAGGUUCUCUUUUGUCCUCAGUUCUCAGCUCCUUUCACACAGAUGAGCAAGCCUGAUACUUCCACACCAUUCCUAGUACCACCCGAGCUUUUCAAACACACAUUGGAAGCCAUCGACUUUGGAAGUUUUCUUUGUCCUUACCAGGGCAUACCACAAGUAGAACUCCUCUGUGGAGGAGACUGACCCUCUCAUCCAAAUGUCCCUAGAAAGAUUGCCCAGCUGUCACACACCAGUGUACAUGAAGGAAUGCUAAGUGAUAAAAUGAUUCAUCUUCUGCUGUGGAUGAGGAACUUUAGCCUGCUGUUUUGGGGGGACCGAGACAUAGGAGACCUUGUUACAGUUUCCAGCAUCUCUGUGAUUGCUUUUAGAGCUCACCCCGCUGGUUGACAUUUGUAGAGCCUCUCGCUGUUUGCAGAGCCAGCGGUUUCUUGAAGGGCUCGUCACUGGCUUUAAAACCUGUGCUGCUCUGUUGUUUGCAGAAUUGGGCAUUGCAAUGCAGAGCUCAUCUUUGUCUGCAAAGCUUGCUGCCACGUGUAAAGUUUUGGGGGUGUCACAGAGGUUGAUAUUGCUUAUGGAGCUCAUUCAGGUUCGCAGACCCUAUGGCAAUUGUGUAGAACACAGUUUGCAACUAUUUGCAGAGGCACUCUGCCUGAGGAGUUCUUCACUUGCUCCGAAGCCAGUGCACUAUGUAGAAGCCAUUGCCUUUUGUAGGGGCCGUCUUUCAAGGCUGAUCUCAUCAGUAUCCAUAAAGCUUGUUCUCUUCCAAGUUCGGCUCUGCUUGUUGAGAUCCACCAUUUCUUUUUACACAGCUGUUAGCCAGAGAACUUGAUGCCGUUUGCGAUUCUCACAUGGCUUCUGGUGUUCAUCACGGAUAGAGGACUUCUGGGAGGCUGUCUCAUUCUACCGUCUUUGUCUGGACUUUCUACAAAGUGGUGAAUUUUCAAGAACAUGAGGCCAAGCCAUCAGACUUUGAAGUCUUUUGUAUUUACAGGGUUAGGAUUCUCUCUAACAUGGCUACUACAUGUAGGCCUCACGUCAUUCCCCCGACCCCCUGACAUCUUAGAGGGUCUCCACAAUACUGGGUCCACACUUAGAUUCUGUUUUCUUUCUCAAGCCAAAAUUUCUUGGAAUCCUCUCCCUCACAGAUCCAAUGGCCUACAUAAACAGACCUCUCAUCUUCUUUGCUCAAAGCCCUUGAAUUUUCAGGCAGAUUCAGAUUAUCUUUGCUGUCUACGUCUACCUGGUCAGCAUGGGUGCCCAGUGGUUUUAUGUGCACAGUCAUCAUAGGACUUGGGGGCAUGCCACAGGCUCUGGGAGAAUGAAGAUUGGACAGGGGUUCAUACCACACAGGAGCCCUACUGUACACUGUAGGCCAUAAGACCUCAGAGCCCACCAUACAUGGCUGUCUUCAGCUGCUCUGUCUUACUAGCCUUUUCUUGAGCCUGGAAGGAACUGGUGAGGUGUACAUGGGUGUUCUUAUCUAUGUCUGGUGUACCCUAAUCAACUCUAACCACCUUCAGAUGUUCAGUUCUUAAUAUCACAACAACUUAAAACACUGCACUAGGCCAAAAUUUCUGUGUAGACAUAAUCACACACACAUACACACAAACACAGUGUGUGUGUGUGUGUGUGUGUGUGUGUGUGUAAUCUAUAUGUAUCCCUGAAAGACAAGGUUUGGCAGCCAUGGUUUGGAUUUGACCAAAUUGAAAGUUUUCAGAAAAACCACAAGGGAGAUCAAAAUGCAAUUUCAGGAUACUUCUUACACAAGCUUAGCCGUUUGACUUUGGUAAGCAUGAAAGUUUUGGCUGAGAGGUGGGCUAGAAGAUCAGUCUGAUGCCACACCACUUCUUCUGGAAGACUUCUGAGUCUUACUACUGCGCAGGGUGGACCGUGUCCGAACAUGAAUGUGCGGCUUAUACAGAUUCUAACCCAAAAGGGUUCUGCUCUGAGAAAGUCUGCACUAUGAAAACUCAAGUCAAGAGAUGCUCUCCCUCUGCACUCAAGGAAUUCAUUGGAUAACUCCCUGGACACACUGUAAUGAAACACACGCCUCUAUAGUCCAGCGAGCACCACAGCUCCUCUGCUGGAUGAAGGCCUCCUGAUCACCCUCAUUCCUUCCUCAGGAAGGAAUCCUUCCCUGAGGCCCCAGCUGAGCACUUUUCUGGGUUGUUCAUAACAGCCACCAGGACUGGAUUCUUUUCAGUGAUCUCUGCCUUCAGACCCUGGGACAGCCAAAGGUUUGGCUUAUAGAACAUGUCCACAGAGUCAGCUGGAAGCAAAUGCCUUUUUUUUCCUGAAAACCCCCCAUUUUCUGUCCUUUGUUCUUUGAGGAAGGCUCUAGAUAUGCCUCGCUGUUGGCUUUGUCCACAGGGCCUGAGGCAAGAGUGCUGCUACUCUGGAGAUAAUUCAGAGCGCUAAUGGCAUACAGAUGCAUGCUAAUUCAUGUGCACAUACACAAAUUAGGCUGUAAUUAUCACAGGAACUAUUUGCUAAUGCUGGUUACCAUUUGAACCAUUACUCAGCAUUGGUUACCACAGACGGUUGGUCAAUAUGGCUCAGCAUGAGGCCUUCCUUCUCAGCCAGUCAUGGGAACUAAACAGAAACACGCAGCUGUGGGUUGAUUCGAAGUAGGAGGUGGGUCUCUCAAGGUUUGCAGUGUGAAUGGAAUGAGCCUUCUGGAAAAAACGACAGCAGGAUCCCACAGGGGUGAGGAGAAGCCAGCAAUGUAUGCCAUGUAAAACGACAGGCUCUAUGUGUGGGAGGUCAAGAGUGCAAAUCACACGCUGUGUCCAUUGCAUUCAAUAGCAAUUCCCAGGCUGACUACAGGGGACCAAGGGAAGCAAGGGGCUAAGGCAAAGAAACAGUGCUUGUAAGCCAAGAAACAUUGGCAGACAUAACUGGUUACCUAUGGAUAUGGAAGCCAACACACCAGGUUUAUCAGGCACCCCUGCUGGAGACAGGGUUUGAACUUGGUUUUCAAGAGACAUUUUAAUGCUGGCUGUAUCAUAGUAGCCAGAACUGGGAUCUGAACUGCAUAGUUGUACAGGAGAGAGGCUUAAAUGGAAGAAUGGCCCAUGGUUGCUGAAUCACAACGUAGCUUCCUCUCCAAGGGGCCUCCAUUACCUAACUACACGGCUAUUAGCCUGUAGAGGAAGCAUCUCCCAAGCACAAUCUACUAGGAAUGGGGUGGAGGUCUGGAGAGGUAAGUGAUGAGCCCUGAGACUGCAGCGAUGCACUGGUUGGAAUGGAACUAGGACCCGGCUUGCAUGACUACUGGGAAAGAUAAGGCAUGACUCAGGUUAUCUGGAGGGGAGGUUACAGUAGCACUGACGUAUAACAGAGGCUGUAAGAGAUGUGGCCUAGAGCCAGAAGGUGAUAAAUGGUUUGUCUAGACUCCAGACUCUGGAUCGACUGAGGGGAGGGGCGGGGUAAAUGCUGAGAGGUUCUCUUACCAUGGGUACCCAAAGAACCCAGAGAAUGGGGGAGGAUGGUCUGGGUUAGUUAACCCUUACACAUUUGGCUGUGCUCUCACAGAAGGGCAUCACUGGGCCUGGUUGCCUGGACCAGGCAGGGAAAAGCCAGCUCAGUUAUCCCUGGGGUAGUCUGACUUCUCUUUGGGCAGCCAGCUAGGGUUGUUAUGGCUGGCCAUGAUGCUGCUUCUCUUUUCCCCAACCUUGCCUGCUGCAGUUGCUCCCUUGGAGGCCUUUCUGGCUGGCCUGCUGUGUCUGCGGGCCCUGCGGGCACCCCUUUACUCCUUUGCUAAUCCUUCCCUGUGGACAUGCCAGGGAUCUGUGAUUGGGUAGCUGGGCUGCCUCCCAGCCACCUGAGACUAGAGUUCACGGUCCUCACCAUGCUGGUAAUGUGCAGCUGGGCUCAUAUCCAUCCUUCUACAAUGGUGAGGCACUAAAGCCCCAGGUUUGCUAGGAGAGGGGAGUGAGACUGUGGGGGAGAUGUUUGCCAGGUCCUCCAAGGGAAGAAUAAAAAGACAGUGCACAGGGCAGAUAGUCUGAUUCUGAAUCAAAUGAUGCGAGGCACUCAUUGAAUAGGAAGAAAUGGAGAUACCCUAUUGAUUGCCGAGCACACGAUGAGGCCCAGCUUGCAACCUGGAGGACAGCAGGAGAAGACCCAUUCAGACCCCUACAGAGCGCCUUCUCUGGGGAUCCAAAGGGGGAGAGAAGUCCUCAGAGAAUGCUUUCACGAAAUAGGAUCUAUGGGGAAUCAGUGACAUCGUUUUCUUUAGAGGUAAGAUAAGAAUGCAGAGGUCUCAGUGCAAACAUAACUGGGAAUUUGAAGAUUGUAACAGAGGAUCAGUAAUUCAGGUACAAGCAUUGCUGAGUAUGUCUUGUGGGCAUGGACAGGUCACAUGUCCAUAAAUUUGCCCUUGAGACAAGGAAGAAUGAUCCUAAGGGACCAGAGGGAAAGUCCUUCCCAGGUCCUCAGAAGCACCCUGGUGUGGGCUGUCUGGAAACUCACCCAGGACUCUAGAGCUCUCUGCUUCAUAGGCCUCUGGAGUAUCACAGGGACUUGGGAAAAUGAGUUUAAUGAGUCUUUCCAAUUCUCAGAAGAGGACCCUGGGGUCCAGGGACACUGACUUGUCUCCUUAAAGUCCUCAAAGGAGUCAGCGAUGAAACAGCUAUUGAACUGGGUUACACAGAUCCUCCUUGCCUUGGACUCCAAGACUCCAGCACCUUAGCAACCUUCCCGAGACAAAGACCCCUGGCUUCUUCCAGUGCCCUUCUCUAGCCUCUUGGAGGCAUCCUGCCCUUGGAGAUGUCAGACUCUUGCCCCCUGCACAGCCCGCCACCAGUGCCCACUUAGUACUGCUAACCCAGCCAACACUUUCUCACAUUUUCGGGCAGUUUUCCAAUAUGUCCCAUUCAACCUUAUAGACAUUUUACAGUCAGAUUUCUACCUCUCAGCAGACCCAUCCAGGGCCACUAAUGAGGCCUCCUCCAGUUAUGGUAAUGGCACCCCCUGUCUGCUUCCCAACAGGAGCAAGCAUACCACAGAGGGCCACUCUCAGACCCCUCUUCCUGAUUCUGCUCUCCAGUCACCUUCCCUGACAGGUCCCUAGACCCUCAGACCCCCUUCCUGACCCCGCUCUCCAGUCACCCUCCCUGACAGGUCCCCAGCCCCCUAGCAUAUUUACAGAAAUGCCACUCAGCAGAACAACCUGAAUUAAAUGAACGUUAACAGGAGAGCUGCUAGCUUCCAAAUUAGCAGUGCAUAAUUAGUUUCAUGCAUAAACCUCUGGAAAGCACGGGCGGGCGCACAGGCUGGCGUGCGCGAGACAAUCAGGAUGAAGAAGAAGAGCAGAAAGGAAUUGGGGAAGGUGGGAGGCUGGCUGAGGAGUGGCUGAGCUGAGUGACGUGCAGACAGCCUUUGCACAGCAAAGCACUCCACACCAUCUUUGGGGUGAGACAGUUCCGUGCCUUCCUUCCUCCCACUUGAAACCUUAAAGACCCCACCCAGGCAUAACCCACUUGUCCCCACCUCUACCCUCUGAUUGUAGAGGGCUCAGGUGUGCCUUUUCUAUCUCCUGGCUGAUUCUUCAUGAAGGAAUGCUUGAACCACACUCGGGCCAGGAGAGACACUUGAACGUCAUGCACCUCUGUCCUGUGUCAUAGGACUCUUUGCCUGAAUGAGAUGGGAGCUCUUGCUGGUUUGCUUUUUAUGGGGGGUGGGGCAUGAGGAUGUGCUUCCAAGACAGGCUGGAUGAGAACCAGCAUUUUGCAUUUCUGAAUCCUAGCACUCGUUGGGACAAGGGUGUGUCAUAGAGCAACCCUUUCAGGUAAGGGAGAAGUCCCUUUAGUCACAGCCCGCUCUCACUAGGUAACACAAGGCUGGGGGCUACACUGUCACUUCCAGAUUUUGAACACCAGUUUGCUCAUCCCAGCUGAUCCCAGCAUACCUGCACUGCACCUCCCUGGCCUGGCGUUCUCAGAUAUAAUCCCUACUGGACAUAUUAUUCCAAAGGGCAAGAGUGGCUUUCAAGCCACCCCCACCCCCACAACCUUGGUAUUUUAGGAUUGUGUCACGGGUUAGAAGCACUCAUGUUGUUUUCUGGGGAACUUUUUCACCUCCACGGGCCGCACCUGAUCUCUCUGUCCAGCAGAACCCCUGUCCUAUGACUUCGAGACAAUCAGUAACACAAGAGAGCUACAGGAUUUCUCUGAAUGUGGAGCAGUUGUUAAGACCCAGGCACAGGGAGGGAUGUGAGGGCUUCCACACCAUGGAGCCAGACUCCAGCUUGUGAUGUGAUUGACUCUCUGAGUGGGCUGUGCAGGGUCUCUAGGCUUGGCUGUGCCUGCUCCCAUGCUCUACCCGAGGGGAGCUCUCUACAUGGAGGCGUGCAGUCUGUAUUACUUAUUGUAUAUUAUUUAUUUAGUCUUAAUUUAUAAUUGUUUCAUUGCCAGAGGAUCUCAGUGCCAUAGGGACAAAAAUGUGCUGCUCAGUCCUCCAUAAAGAAUCCUUUUUCUGCCAUAAAUAAACAGAAUACCCAAUCAACUACCCAUCAAAUUGCCUGGCCCUGGCACAAACAGAAUGCUACUAAUGAGACACAACACGCAUUAGUUUAAUGUCCUACCAGAGGAAGCAAGCUGGCCUCUGAGUGCCAGCCCAGGCCAUAGCCCAGGAAGGACCGGAAUGGGCAGCCCUCCAAGAGGACACUGGGGGAAGGCUCUGAUGACAAGUAGAAGCCCCUAAGGAGAUGAGGUUCAUCUCUUUGGGGCCAAUGCUGCCACCCACUUUAAGGACUCAACAUUGGGUGUGGACCUACUGAGUGCACGGCGCUUAGCUGGGUAUAAUGAACACCAUCAGAGGAGGCUGGCAUCUCAGUGAAAACAGUACAGGCUGUGAAACAGCAUGUAAUGGAUUAGACUGUUGAGGGGAAAAGGGGGGUCAUGCAUUUGGUGUUAAGAAAGAAGGGAGAUGCAGGUGGGGUAGUAUGGAAAGGCUACUUGGAGGAGCUCCUUCAAGGACAAGCAAGAAUUGUAAACCAGGAACCCGCAAGAUGGUUCAGUGGUCAAGAGGGUUUGGUCUCCAGCACCCACAUGAAAGUUCCCAACCAGUUGCACCUCAAGUUCUAAGAGCCCUAACACCACCUUCUGGCUUUCACAGGCUGUUGUAUGCAGAUAGUAUAAAUAAACUCACAAUGCUCUCUGUUCUCUCUCUCUCUCUCU
rnacentral:sRNA from 1 species